rnacentral:rRNA from 1 species
UACGUAGGGUGCAAGCGUUAAUCGGAAUUACUGGGCGUAAAGCGUGCGCAGGCGGUUGUGUAAGACAGAUGUGAAAUCCCCGGGCUUAACCUGGGAACUGCAUUUGUGACUGCAUAGCUAGAGUACGGUAGAGGGGGAUGGAAUUCCGCGUGUAGCAGUGAAAUGCGUAGAUAUGCGGAGGAACACCGAUGGCGAAGGCAAUCCCCUGGACCUGUACUGACGCUCAUGCACGAAAGCGUGGGGAGCAAACAGG